UACAGAGGGUGCGAGCGUUAAUCGGAAUUACUGGGCGUAAAGCGUGCGUAGACGGUUAUUUAAGUCGGGUGUGAAAGCCCCGGGCUCAACCUGGGAAUUGCAUUCGAGACUGAAUAGCUAGGGUACGGUAGAGGGAAGCUGGAAUUUCCGGUGUAGCGGUGAAAUGCGUAGAUAUCGGAAGGAACAUCAGUGGCGAAAGCGACUUCCUGGACCAGUACCGACGUCAGGCACGAAAGCGUGGGGAGCAAACAGGAU
rnacentral:rRNA from 1 species